CGCGUAGGUGGUAGUGCAAGUCUGGGGUGGAAUCCUAUGGCUUAACCAUAGAAUUGCCUUGGAAACUGUAUUACUUGAGUCAGUGAGGGGAGGGUAGAAUUCCUGGUGUAGCGGUGAAAUGCGUAGAUAUCAGGAGGAAGGCCUGUGGCGAAGGCGGCCCUCUGGCGCUGAACUGACACUGAGGCGCGAAAGCGUGGGGAGCAAACAGGAUUAGAUACCCUGGUAGUCCACGCCCUAAACGGUGGGCACUAGGUGUAGGGCUCGUAAGGGUUCUGUGCCGAAGCGAAAGCAUUAAGUGCCCGCCUGGGAGUACGGCCGCAAGGUUGAA
rnacentral:rRNA from 1 species